rnacentral:lncRNA from 1 species
CACAACCUCCCCACUAAGCACCUUGUAACCCCCAUCUCUGCCUGCAAGAGAAAAACUCCCCUUGACUACAUGCGUGACAUUUGGUGCUGAAGACCCGGGAUGGGGGACUCCUUCGGGAGACUGGUCCCCUGUCCUCACCCUCACUCCAUGAGGAGAUCCACCUACAACCUCGGGUCCUCAGUCCAACCAGCCUAAGGAACAUCUCACCAAUUUCAAAUCAGGUCCUCUUUGGAUUCCAGCACGAUGCAUCAAACCAUACCAUGGCAUGCCUAGGACCCAACCCCAUAUCAGAAAUGAAGAAACUGACCUUACAGUACCCGCAGCCCUGAACAAAGCAGCUUCCACAGAUGACACAAGCCCCGGACCUGGGGGAUGCUGAAGAGGACAACUCAGGAGGCUGAACGAAUCCUGCUCUGGACACUGACACCAAUUACUCCAGGAAAUUUUUUCCUUGCUAUGCUUUCUGUGUAUAUUGCAACUCACAUAGGGAUGCAAAGUUGGAAUAAGAGCAAUGACCACCUCUCCUGAGAGACCUGUUUGUUCCCACAUCUGUACUCUUCAGUCAACAGAACCUGAUGCAAAGAACAGAAAAGGGGAAGAUGUGGGGGAUUCAGUCAGGAUGGUGGGAGAAAUUGUAAAAUUAUAGGAAAUAAUCACAAACACUUGUGGAAGGCCUGGGGGUUUGCAUAAAAUGUUGGGCUGAAGGCAGCUGAAUUCUCUUAAAAGCUUAGGGCAUAGAUACACAGAAAUGUAGUUUAUCUAAAUGACUUGUUUACUUAUGUGGUCCUAAAACUAACCUUUGAUAGUUUAUGGGCAGGAUAGCUCUCUCAGGGUAGGGGGAGGGCAACCAGAUUGAUUACCCACUGAUGGUGUUGACUCAAAGCCUUCGUCAUUUAAUAUGUGCUGAAUAAAUGCCAGCAGGGCCAGUGAGUCAGGGCCACAGCUGCAACUCUUUACAGCACUCUCCUUUGAGUCUGUAAGUGGCCUAGACCCUCAGCCGGUCUGACAAGCAUAAUAUCUGUGUUAGUGUACAUUAUUCAUCCAUCGUUGGGUCAGGGUCUGCAGGACAGACCCCUAGAAAAAUAAAAUAAAAUUAAAAAUAGCCGGGUGUGGUUACACACACCUGUAAUCCCACCUACCUGGGAGGCUGAGAUAGAAUCGCUUGAACACAGGAGGCAGAAUUUGCAGUGAGCCGAGAUCAUGCCACUGCA